CAUUCCCCCGGUUCUCUAUUCUUUCUCUGUUCUUCUCCAUUGCUCUACCUCUUCUUCUUCUAUUUCAAGGUUUUCUUUCCUUCUUCUUUUGCUAGAUGUCGGCCUGUUGCUUCCACUUUGUUCAUUCUAGAUGAACUAUUUGACCAUCGUUCACGGUUGUACAGUUCGUUCAACAAAUUCAAAGUAGAAACGCUGGAAGUAUUUGACCGCCGUUACAGAUCCGUCAUAUCAAGCAAGAACAACUUACAACUAAAGCACACAGUAUGCAUGUUGAUAAUGUAUGUAUGAAUGGUAGCUUCCUGGAUCUGCUAAAUAUGGUUGAAGACCGACAAACUUAUUUCACAUCAAGGUAUAGUUUAGCUUAACAGCAUUGUUGAUACUCAGAUUGCUGAAAAAAGCUCCACAAAAGAACAAUCUGAAGAUUUUUCAGAUGCAAGAGACGUUCUUUCUCAGCAAAAUCUUAGGAUUGAUUUCGACGAAUACAACGAUGAGCUUGAAGAAGUUCAAUCUAAAUUUGGAACAAAUAAUGGUACUCAAGAAAGGUUAAUGGAGAAAAAACUACUCUAGAUGAAGAUUACUUAUUUUCAACAUAUAAAGUUGGUGAAGAAGAAGGCACUGUAAAUCUGGAAGAUAACAGGUAUAAUUUUCUAAAAAAAUCAUUUUAAAAUUUACGACAUACUAAUUGAUAUUAUUUUAGUACGUUGGUAAAUGGAGCUAUUUAAGAAGGUAUCAUAUCAUACUGUCAAGAUAAAUCUUUGGAUAUGUUCAAACCUUAUGUUGGUAUGAAGUUUGGAUCUCUAGCUGAAGCAUAUGACUUUUUCAACACAUAUUCUUUGGUUCUUGGUUUUAGCAUCAGAAAUGGAGACAAUUUUGUGAAUGUCAAAGAUAUUCAGACAAUGCAAGAGUACAAGUGUCAGCGCAAUGAUCAGCAAUCAUUGAGAGUGUCAUUUUUGCUGGAGUAUUGCCUACAAAUGAAAAGGUUGGAAAUUUGAAAUGGGCUUUUAAGGAAUUUGUUGCAAUGAUGGGUGGUAAAGCUCCUGCUACUAUUCUUACUUGUAUGAUCAGGCACUUGCAAAUGCUAAUUCAAUAAAAACAGAAAUACCAAAUACCACUCAUAGAUGGUGUAAAUGGCAUGUCCUAAAGAGAGCUCAUGAACUUCUUGGACAAACAUACAAGAAAUACAAGACAUUUGUUGAUGAUUUCCACAAGUUAGUAAAUCAUAUGCUUACGGUUGAAGAGUUUGAAAAAGCUUGGCAGAUUAUAAUUGAUAAAUAUUGUCUCAAGGACGAUGCUUUCAUGACAAGAGCUUAUGAAUUGAGGGAAAUGUGGGCUAAACCAUACUUUCAAAAGAUUUUAUGUGCUAGGAUGUGUAGUACCCAAAGAAGUGAAUGUGCUAACCACAUGCUGAAGAUAUGUGUGCCGUUUGCAAAUCUUCUAUUAAUGCAUUUGUUACUCAAUAUACAAAGUGUUGGGGAUAUAACUAUUUGUAAGCCGCCCAGGAGGGGCCGGGUUACGCAAAGAAGGUUUACCAGAAAGAAGCCCAAGGCCAAGCAUGAAGAUGGCGGUUCAAUAAAGGGCUUAAGGCCCACAGGAGACUUAAGGCCUGUUGUAGUAAACCACCAUAAUGGCAUGACUUGUAUCAUAAGGUACAUUUAACUAGUCACCGAGCCGGAUACUGUUUAUAAGCCGGCCGGGACUCUGUAAGCCGCAGGGCGUCAACCCGUGUAUAUAAGG